rnacentral:rRNA from 1 species
AGAGUUUGAUCAUGGCUCAGAGCGAACGCUGGCGGCAGGCUUAACACAUGCAAGUCGAGCGCCCCGCAAGGGGAGCGGCAGACGGGAGAGUAACACGUGGGAACGUACCUUUCAGUUCGGGACAACCGAGGGAAACUUUGGCUAAUACCGGAUACGCCCGUAAGGGGAAAGAUUUAUCGCUGAAAGAUCGGCCCGCGUCUGAUUAGCUAGUUGGUGAGGUAAUGGCUCACCAAGGCUACGAUCAGUAGCUGGUCUGAGAGGAUGAUCAGCCACACUGGAACUGAGACACGGUCCAGACUCCUACGGGAGGCAGCAGUGGGGAAUAUUGGACAAUGGGGGCAACCCUGAUCCAGCAAUGCCGCGUGUGUGAAGAAGGCCUGCGGGUUGUAAAGCACUUUUGUUUGGGGCGAAAUCUUAUCGAUUAAUACUCGGUGAGGAUGACGGUACCAAAAGAAUAGACC